rnacentral:rRNA from 1 species
CCAGACUCCUACGGGAGGCAGCAGUGAGGAAUAUUGGUCAAUGGGCGGGAGCCUGAACCAGCCAAGUCGCGUGAGGGAUGACGGCCCUAUGGGUUGUAAACCUCUUUUGCCGGGGAGCAAAGUGCCGCACAUGUGCGGUUUGGAGAGUACCCGGAGAAAAAGCAUCGGCUAACUCCGUGCCAGCAGCCGCGGUAAUACGUAGGUGGCAAGCGUUGUCCGGAUUUACUGGGUGUAAAGGGCGUGUAGCCGGGUUGACAAGUCAGAUGUGAAAUCCUGCGGCUUAACCGCAGAACUGCAUUUGAAACUGUUGAUCUUGAGUACUGGAGAGGCAGACGGAAUUCCUAGUGUAGCGGUGAAAUGCGUAGAUAUUAGGAGGAACACCAGUGGCGAAGGCGGUCUGCUGGACAGCAACUGACGGUGAGGCGCGAAAGCGUGGGGAGCAAACAGGAUUAGAUACCCGGGUA